GCGUUCCCUCGGCGCAUGCCGGCGACCUUCCCGCGCGUGCAAGCGAAUGAGCAGCACAGGUUCUUCGGUGCCCCUGCAUCCUUUUAGCGCUUUUUACCGUACGUCUUGCCUUCUCUCGCCAUGCCGAACGCCAAGAACGGCUCAGAGACGACGUACUUCACUGCCAUCGCCAACCGCGAUGUUGAGGCGCUGAAGGCGCUCAUCGCGCAGAACCGCAACGUGAACGAGGUGGCGCAGGACCCGGCGCUGUAUCACCGUACACCGCUGCACAUAUGCGUCUGGGAAAACUUCGUGGAGGGUGCGAAGCUGCUACUGGACGCGGGUGCGGAUGUGAACGCUCUUGACGACCUGCACGACUCCCCGUACCUGCUUUCCGCCGCUGAGGGGCGGCAGGAGAUCAUGGAGCACAUCUACAAGAACGCCGAGCGAACAAUGCGGUACGGAAGCCAGACGAGCCUCCGCAUGAAAACGAGUGUGCCGGACCACUCCAUUGUGAACCGGUUUGGCGGAUCGGCACUGAUCCCCGCCUGCGAGCGCGGUCACGUGGAGAUGGUGCGCCUGCUUCUGCAGAAGGGUGUCGAUGUGAACCAUUACAACUAUUACCACUGGACCGGUCUACUGGAGGCUAUCGAGCUUGGCGGCGAUGAUCGUGAGCACGUCGAUAUUGUGCGGCUGCUCAUCGAGAACGGUGCAGAUGUUAACAAGGUAGAUGGCGCUGGCAAGACGCCCCUGUAUCUCGCGCGCAAGCGCAAGUAUAAGCGGAUUGCCGCGCUGCUGGAGGCCGCCGGCGGCCACGAGUGAAACAUAAGAAGGGGCACGGAGGAUACAUCCAGGGCAAGGAGGACAUGGGAACCGAUCUGCCAGCACUCGCAAGCGCGCAUCAUCCGUCGAAGCUCGCUCACGACCACACCGGUGCCUACACUUACAUCAUUCGCGUAGACAGUAAUGCUGCAGUGCAGCACUCCCUUUAUCCAUACCUUGCUAGAGCGUUUUGCGUGUCUUGCUGCUUUCACAUCUUUUGAUGAGACCGCAGCGGCCUUUCGCCCAUUGCCUGUGCCGCUUCGCCGAUCCUUCUCCCUCGUGCGCCAUGCGCGACUUGACUGAGGUUUCUUUUCGACCUUCGUCGGUGAGUUUCCUCCGAAAGUGGGCCACGCACCCCCAGAUGCCAGGGAGGAGGGCACACCUCUCAAGGCAUGGCAUCACAGCGCCCAGCACACCCCCUCUCUGAGGGAGAGCACAACAGCCCCUCCCCUCUACCCCUGCCAAUACCCACCUACCUCUAGUACUGGCAGGGCCAGGUGCCUACGGUGCGAGGAGGUCACAGAUAUUUAUUGCUGCUGAUGCCGGCGGCCAGGUCCUGGAUGGCGUGGCGCCGGAGCGACCUGCUGCAGUGCACGCGUCUGACCCAUCCACAUGAUGGGCAGCGUGUCCGCGCGACUCGAGCGUAUCCGACCCCCGGCCCUCGCACUGCCUACUGGUGGGUGGGGAGCCUGAGCCACCGCAAGGGAUGCCGCACGUGGCGACCGGUACGACGGUAGCUGCUGCGAGGCGCCCCGUGGGGCGGCGGGGGGUGGCCCGUGCUCGAGGCGGAAGCCGUGCUUGGAUGACUGAGUCGGCAUAUUGCUGUAACGCGUGUCUAGGGCUGCUUCGCACGACGCGAUGGGGUGGGGCCCAUGACCGGCCGCGCAGUGCCGGAGUGGCGGUGGCGGGGGGCAUCGAGCUCGCGCGCCCUACGGCGGAGAAAAAGAAAAGGAUGAAGAGCGGCUCCGCGCAUCUCUGCGUUUCUCCCUCCUUGUGGGCGUGCGCAGGUGUUUGGGCGUCACGUUGUCGGGGCAACAUUUUCGGCUCUUUGCCUUCUUUCACAUCGUGCACUCUUUCGUUUUUUUUUUCGGCUGAUGGUUAUGUGUGUGUGUGUGUGUUUGCGUCACUCGAUGACAGCUCUCUCGUCCGCUUUUUUUUUGUUUGGGUUUGUAUUUCUCCCCCACCGUCCCUUCGCCAUGCCGCUUGCACGCUCCCCCUCCUGCGGCAGCGGCCGAACAGCUCGAAACGUGAAAGGGAUCGGGGCGAGAGAGAGCGAGUGGACAGUACUCAAAGAAAAGGCAGGACACGGUGACAUGUGCGCACCUUCCUGGUGUAGGAACGGGCCUGUGCUGGGCGCUGCAAUGCAAGACGUAUAUGUGCGUGUGUGUGUGGGGGGGGGGCAAGGCCGCUCGUACGCCGGCUGCGCCAAGCGCAGAGAGGCACGCUGUAGGCGGCUCCACGAAGAGCCGCGUAUGCUCUGCACACGAAAGGCGCUUGAAGCAGAGCGGAGAAACAAAACAGGUCCAUCCUUGGUUUUCUGCGGAGGUGUCUCCUGUGGUUCUGAUCCUCUGAUCCUUCUCCCUCUUGUGCUCGUCUUCCCUUCACCGUCGCCAG
rnacentral:misc_RNA from 1 species